rnacentral:tRNA from 1 species
GCCCCUAUGGCUCAGCGGUAGAGCGUACGAUUGGUAAUCGUAAGGUCGCGAGUUCAAUUCUCGCUGGGGGCU